GCCUCGGCGGCUAGCGGCUGGGGCCUGAGCCCCGGCAGGUCCCGAUCUGCUGCUGCCGAGGGUCACGGCUCCUGCCCAUCCCCUCGCGUGAGGUCGAAGGCGGGAAGCUCUGCGCAAUUUAAUCUCAGAACAGAACUGGACCAGACAUCCCAAGACCCUGGUGAUACAACAGAUGGUUCAUUUGCUAACAAUCACCGGCUGCGGAAUGUUUCAUUCAAGGCCCACCACAUCCAUGACAAGUGAUCAGCACAACAGAGCAGGCUGUAUUUGGGAAAUCAUGCUUGACAAAAUCAUAAUCGAUCCA